rnacentral:rRNA from 1 species
UGUAAGCGUAUACCAAAGUUGUUGCAGUUAAAACGCUCGUAGUCGGAAUUUGGCAGUUCCGGAUGUGUGCACGUCGUGUGCGCACUUCGCGGGGAUUGCUUUUGUGGUCUUGCGUAGGAUGAGGCACUUUUAUUAGUGAACGUCCUCACGCAACCACUUGUUACUGUGAGAAAAUCAGAGUGCUCAAAGCAGGCAUUUGCCGUGAAUGUAUUAGCAUGGAAUAAUAGAAUAGGACUUGGUUCUAUUUUGUUGGUUUGUUGGGACUGAGUAAUGAUUAAGAGGGACAGUUGGGGGCAUUUGUAUUUCGGUGCUAGAGGUGAAAUUCUUAGAUUACCGAAAGACAAACUGCUGCGAAAGCGUCUGCCAAGGAUGUUUUCAUUGA